rnacentral:lncRNA from 1 species
AUAUUGGGCCAGCGUCUGACAAAGGGAAGCACAGAAAGAUAGGGAUAAAAAAAUACUUUGCUAUUUCUUUGCUGUCCAGUUUUAUGAUGAAGAUGUAACAAUAAAUCUUUAGUAAGCUCAGCUGCAUUUGUAGAAGCUCGCAAUUCACUGUUUACUACUAUUAAUGAGAAUAUUUGAAACCAUUUAUUUUGAAAGAUGCAGACUUUCAGGAGGAACAUGAUGUCUACCCGCUGGGACCAUGAUGCAGCCCAGAAACACCUGAUGCUAGCAGAGAAGCUCAGGAAGGGAGGGUGCUUUGGGGAGGCCUAUCAGAAGAGGAAGGAAGAGGGGAAGUAGUGAAAAAGAAAGCACAGGUUUGUCUUAGGUGUUGGUGUGGAGACUGGGGGCUGAAGGUUACAGAAAGUUUGGACGUUUCUUCUUGGCUGUUUCUGAAGAUGGAGGCGGGGGCUGCUUUAAGCUCCUCGUUUUUCCAAGAGGAUCCCACAGCAGCUGUACAGACUCUGCUCCUCCAGGCUCCAUUUCAGGUCAGUUGGGCCCUGCCCAGGAGUUAGGCCUGUUCCCUGAGUGACAGCCUGGGAUAUUUUAGGACCGAUAUACAACGCGCGAGGGAACA